UACGUAGGGGGCAAGCGUUGUCCGGAAUCACUGGGCGUAAAGGGCGCGUAGGUGGCCGAGCAAGGUCGCGGUGAAAGCCCGGGGCUCAACCCCGGGUCGGCCGUGGCAACUACUGGGCUGGAGCACUGUAGGGGCGGGUGGAAUUCCGGGUGUAGCGGUGGAAUGCGUAGAGAUCCGGAAGAACACCGGUGGCGAAGGCGGCCCGCUGGGCAGUUGCUGACACUGAGGCGCGACAGCGUGGGGAGCAAACAGG
rnacentral:rRNA from 1 species